rnacentral:rRNA from 1 species
GACGAACGCUGGCGGCGUGCUUAACACAUGCAAGUCGAACGGAAAGGCCUUUUCGGAGGUACUCGAGUGGCGAACGGGUGAGUAACACGUGGGUGAUCUGCCCUGCACUCUGGGAUAGGCCUGGGAAACUGGGUCUAAUCCCGGAUAGGACCGCACUUUGGGGGGGGGGGGGGAAAGUUUUUUCGGUGUAGGAUGAGCCCGCGGCCUAUCAGCUUGUUGGUGGGGUAAUGGCCUACCAAGGCGGCGACGGGUAGCCGGACUGAGAGGUUGGUCGGCCACAUUGGGACUGAGAUACGGCCCAGACUCCUACGGGAGGCAGCAGUGGGGAAUAUUGCACAAUGGGCGCAAGCCUGAUGCAGCGACGCCGCGUGGGGGAUGACGGCCUUCGGGUUGUAAACUCCUUUCGCCAGGGACGAAGCGUUUUGUGACGGUACCUGGAGAAGAAGCACCGGCUAACUACGUG